UACGUAGGUGGCAAGCGUUGUCCGGAAUUAUUGGGCGUAAAGCGCGCGUAGGCGGUCCCUUAAGUCUGAUGUGAAAGCCCACGGCUCAACCGUGGAGGGUCAUUAGAAACUGGGGGACUUGAGUACAGAAGAGGAAAGCGGAAUUCCACGUGUAGCGGUGAAAUGCGUAGAGAUGUGGAGGAACACCAGUGGCGAAGGCAGCUCGCUGGGACGGUACUGACGCUGAGACGCGAAAGCGUGGGGAGCAAACAGG
rnacentral:rRNA from 1 species